AUUGAACGCUGGCGGCGUGCUUAACACAUGCAAGUCGAUCGGUAACGCGGGGGCAACCCUGGCGACGAGAGGCGGACGGGUGAGGAACGCUUGGGAAUCUGCCUAUCAGCGGGGGACAACCCGGGGAAACUCGGGCUAAUACCGCAUACGCCCUACGGAGGAAGGCCGGGGACCGCAAGGCCUGGCACUGAUAGAUGAGCCCAAGUCGGAUUAGCUAGUUGGCGGGGUAACGGCCCACCAAGGCGACGAUCCGUAGCUGGUCUGAGAGGACGAUCAGCCACACUGGGACUGAGACACGGCCCAGACUCCUACGGGAGGCAGCAGUGGGGAAUAUUGGACAAUGGGGGAAACCCUGAUCCAGCGACGCCGCGUGGGUGAAGAAGGCCUGCGGGUUGUAAAGCCCUUUCGGUAGGGACGAAAACUCUCGACUUAACACGUCGGGAGCUUGACUUAACCUACAAAAGAAGCACCGGCUAACUCUGUGCCAGCCGCCGCCGUAAGAC
rnacentral:rRNA from 1 species